UUGCUUGAUUCAUAAACAUGUUUUCGGAUAUGUUUUUUGGAAUUAUUGUGAAUGUGUUGUGAUUGGGCAGCGGCCAGACAACCGUAGAGAUGGAAUCCACAGAUGUUGGGGUUUUUCUUCUCACUCAUCUACUAAUUCCAUCUCACAUUU
rfam:Cicer arietinum chromosome Ca6, whole genome shotgun sequence.